GCGCCGGUAGUUCAAGGGUAGAAUCUCAGCUUCCCAAGCUGAGGGCCCGGGUUCGAGUCCCGGCCGGCGCA
rnacentral:tRNA from 2 species